CCUACGGGUGGCAGCAGUGGGGAAUAUUGGGCAAUGGGCGCAAGCCUGACCCAGCAACGCCGCGUGAAGGAAGAAGGCUUUCAGGUUGUAAACUUCUUUUCUCAGGGACGAAGCAAGUGACGGUACCUGAGGAAUAAGCCACGGCUAACUACGUGCCAGCAGCCGCGGUAAGACGUAGGUGGCAAGCGUUAUCCGGAUUUACUGGGUGUAAAGGGCGUGUCGGCGGGAAAGCAAGGCAGAUGUGAAAACCAUGGGCUCAACCUGUGGCCUGCAUUUGAAACUGUUUGUCUUGAGUACUGGAGAGGCAGACGGAAUUCCCAGUGUAGCGGUGAAAUGCGUAGAUAUUAGGAGGAACACCGGUGGCGAAGGCAGUCGGCUGGCCAGCAACUGACGCUGAGGCGCGAAAGCGUGGGGAGCAAACAGGAUUAGAUACCCGGGUAGUC
rnacentral:rRNA from 1 species